UACGUAGGGUGCAAGCGUUGUCCGGAAUUACUGGGCGUAAAGCGUGCGCAGGCGGUUAUGUAAGACAGUUGUGAAAUCCCCGGGCUCAACCUGGGAACUGCAUCUGUGACUGCAUAGCUAGAGUACGGUAGAGGGGGAUGGAAUUGCGCGUGUAGCAGUGAAAUGCGUAGAUAUGCGGAGGAACACCGAUGGCGAAGGCAAUCCCCUGGACCUGUACUGACGCUCAUGCACGAAAGCGUGGGGAGCAAACAGG
rnacentral:rRNA from 1 species